GACGUAGGGGGCCAGCGUUGUUCGGAAUUACUGGGUGUAAAGGGUUCGUAGGCGGUGUGGCAAGUCGGGAGUGAAAUCUCUGGGCUCAACCCAGAGUCUGCUUCCGAAACUGCUGUGCUUGAGUGUGGGAGAGGCGCGUGGAAUUGCAGGUGUAGCGGUGAAAUGCGUAGAUAUCUGGAGGAAUACCGGUGGCGAAGGCGGCAUCCUGGACCGGCAUUGACGCUGAGGAGCGAAAGCUAGGGGAGCAAACGGG
rnacentral:rRNA from 1 species